rnacentral:rRNA from 1 species
GACGAACGCUGGCUUCGUGCCUAAUACAUGCAAGUAGGACGCAGUUGCGAACGGGCGAGUAACGCGCCGGUAACUACCUAUUAGAGGGGGAUAACUAUCGGAAACGAUACCUAAUACCUCAUACUAGUAGAAGGACCUGCGUUGUAUUCGGCAUUAGGCAGGGGAAUGGCCUACCUAGGCAACGAUACAUAGCCGACCUGAGAGGAUGCUCGGCAACACUGGGACUGAGACACGGCCCAGACUACGACGGGAGGCAGCAGUAGGGAAGCUGCGGCAAUGGGGGAAACCCUGACCGAGCAACGCCGCGUGAGUGAAGAAGGUUUUCGGAUCGUAAAGAUCUGUUGUUAAGGAAGCGGUACUUAACCAGAACGGGACGGCUAACUACGUGCCAGCAGCCGCGAUAAUAC